rfam:Oryza meridionalis cultivar OR44 (W2112) chromosome 5, whole genome shotgun sequence.
UUUAAGUGCAACCAUAAAUUUCUGCGUCCAACUUUAAUCGUCUAUCUUAUUUAAACUUUUUUAUAAUUAGUAUUUUUGUUGUUAUAAGAUGAUAAAAUAUGAAUAGUACUUUACUCGUGACUUUUGUUUUUUUAUUUUUUUUACAUAAGACGGACGGUUAAAGUUGGGCACGGAAAACCGUGGCUGUAAUUAAA